rnacentral:rRNA from 1 species
ACCGUGAGGGAAAGGUGAAAAGAACCUCUGUUAGAGGAGUGAAAUAGAAUCUGAAACCUGGUGCUUACAAGCUGUGAGAGCGGACUUGUUCCGUGAUCACGUGCCUUUUGCAUAAUGAGUCAGCGAGUUAAUCUGUACUGCAAGGUUAAGCGCAAGUGGAGCCGUAGGGAAACCGAGUCUGACAAGGGCGAUGAGUAGUGCGGAUUAGACCCGAAACCGGGUGAUCUAUCCAUGAGCAGGUUGAAGCAAGGGUAAAACCUUGUGGAGGACCGAACCAAUACCGGCUGAAAACGGUUUGGAUGACUUGUGGAUAGGGGUGAAAGGCCAAUCAAACCCGGUGAUAGCUGGUUCUCCCCGAAAUAUAUUGAGGUAUAGCCUCAUGGAUUGUCUACCGGAGGUAAAGCACUGACAGGGCUAGGGGUCCUACCAGAUUACCAAACCCUAUCAAACUCAGAAUGCCGGUCAGAUGUACCAUGGGAGUCAGACGGCGGGUGCUAAGGUCCGUCGUCGAGAGGGUAAGAGCCCAGAUCAACAGCUAAGGUCUCCAAAUCUAUGCUCAGUGGUUAAGGUGGUGACGUUGUAGAGACACCCAGGACGUUGGCUUAGAAGCAGCCAUCGUUUAAAGAAAGCGUAAUAGCUCACUGGUCUAAUGACGUUGCGCCGAAAAUGUAACGGGGCUAAGCAUAGUACCGAAGCUUUGAAUUCCGCGAAUGCGGUCUGGUAGGGGAGCGUUCUUCACGGGCUGAAGGUGUGUCGUAAGGCAUGCUGGACUGUGGAGAAGUGAUUAUGCUGACAUGAGUAACGAUAAAACGGGUGAAAAACCCGUUCGCCGUAAACCCAAGGUUUUCCGGGUAAAGGUAAUCUUCCCGGAGUUAGUCGGCCCCUAAGGCGAGGCUGAAAGGCGUAGCUGAUGGGAAACGUGUUAAUAUUCACGUACUUGUGUGUUCGCGCGAUGAAGGGACGCAGGAAGAUAGGCAAGCCGGGCGCUGGUUGUCCCGGUGCAAGCGUGUAGGGAUGAGAAGUUGGCAAAUCCGCUUCUCUCUAUCCUGAGACGCGAGUCCGUGACCGAAAGGUCUGAAGUUGUUGAGUCUAUGCUGCCUAGAAAAGCUUCUAAGUAUAGGACACGCAAACCGUACCGGAAACCAACUCAGGUGGGUGGGAUGAAUAAUCCAAGGCGCUCGAGAGAACUCUGGCCAAGGAACUCGGCAAAAUAACCCCGUACCUUCGGAAGAAGGGGUGCUUUUUAGGGUGAAGCGAUUCACUCUGUCGAGCCCUGAAAAGCCGCAGAGAAAUGGUGGUGGCGACUGUUUACUAAAAACAUAGGUCUGUGCCAAGUCGUAUAGACGACGUAUACGGACUGACGCCUGCCCGGUGCUGGAAGGUUAAAAGGAGGAGUCAGCGCAAGCGAAGCUCCGAAUUGAAGCCCCAGUAAACGGCGGCCGUAACUAUAACGGUCCUAAGGUAGCGAAAUUCCUUGUCGGGUAAGUUCCGACCUGCACGAAUGGCGUAACGAUCUCCACACUGUCUCGGCCAGAGACUCGGUGAAAUUGAAGUCGCGGUGAAAAUGCCGUGUACCCGCAGAAAGACGGAAAGACCCUGUGCACCUUUACUAUAGCUUGACAUUGGGAUUUGAGCCUGCAUGUGUAGCAUAGGUGGGAGGCUGUGAACUCUGUACGCCAGUAUGGAGGGAGCCAUCGUUGAAAUACCACCCUUGUUUGUUCAGGUCCCUAACUCUUCGCCGUGAUCCGGUAAGAGGACAGUGUCUGGUGGGUAGUUUGACUGGGGCGGUCGCCUCCCAAAAUGUAACGGAGGCAUGCAAAGGUUCCCUCAGGCUGAUUGGAAACCAGCCGUCGAGUGCAAACGCAAAAGGGAGCUUGACUGCAAGAGAGACAUCUCGAGCAGGUACGAAAGUAGGUGUUAGUGAUCCGGUGAUCCCGAAUGGAAGGGUCAUCGCUCAUUGGAUAAAAGGUACGCCGGGGAUAACAGGCUGAUCGCAUCCAAGAGUUCACAUCGA